rnacentral:lncRNA from 1 species
AUGGAGCUGGUAGGGGAGCGAAAGAAGACAGGAUAUGGAAGGGAGACCUGCCUCAGAAUGUGGAAUAGUGGAAGUUAUCUAGAGAAGAGUCAAAGGUUCUACUUCACACUUAGCAGACUGGCCAAUAUGACAGCAAAGGAAAAUAAUAAAUGUUGGAGGGAAUGCGGCAAAAUUGGAACACAUACAUUGCUGGUGGAGUUGUGAACUGAUCCAACCAUCCUGGAAGGCAAUUUGGAACUGUGCCCAAAGGACUUUAAAAGACUGCAUGCCCUUUGAUCAGCAAUACCUCUACGAGGCUUAUAUCCCAAAGAGAUAAUAAAGAAAAAUGUUUGUGCA